rnacentral:snRNA from 1 species
CUUGCUUCAGCCUCACAUAUACUUGAAUUGGAACGAUGUAGAAGAGAUUAGGAUGAUCCUUGUACAAGGAUGACACACAGAUUCAUGAAGCAUUCCACAUUUCU